GUUUGGGUUAGGUUUAGGGUUAGUGCUGGGGUUUGGGCUAUAUUAGGGUUAGGGUUAAGGUUAGGGUUAGGGUUAGUGUUAAUUAAAGUGGUGUGAUUUUGCUCUGUGGGUUCCGUGGUUUAUAUCGUUAAUAACUAAAAUAAAUAAUAAUAAUAAUAUUUAAAGUGGUGUGAUUUUGCUCUGUGGGUUCCGUGGUUCAUAUCGUUAAUAAUAUAAAUAAUAAAUAAAAAUAAUAAUUAGAGUGGUGUGAUUUCGCCCUGUGGGUUCCGUGGUUUAUAUAAUUAAUAAUUAAAAUAAUAAAUAAUAAUGACAAUUAAAA